UACGGGGGGGGCAAGCGUUGUUCGGAAUUACUGGGCGUAAAGGGCUCGUAGGCGGCCGACUAAGUCAGACGUGAAAUCCCUCGGCUCAACCGGGGAACUGCGUCCGAUACUGGAUGGCUUGAAUCCGGGAGAGGGAUGCGGAAUUCCAGGUGUAGCGGUGAAAUGCGUAGAUAUCUGGAGGGACACCGGUGGCGAAGGCGGCAUCCUGGACCGGCAUUGACGCUGAGGAGCGAAAGCCAGGGGAGCAAACGGG
rnacentral:rRNA from 1 species